rnacentral:rRNA from 1 species
GGAUCGAUUUACUGGUCGUGCCUAUGGUACGUACCGGUUUUGUUGGUUCCUCCUUUCCGAGGAGCCACGAUGUCAUUAAUUUGGUGUCGCGGGGAAUCGGAACUGUUACUUUGAAAAAAUUAGAGUGUUUAAAGCAGGCUAACGCUUGAAUACAUUAGCAUGGAAUAAUGAAAUAGGACG